rnacentral:misc_RNA from 1 species
GAAAUGCGAUAAGUAAUGUGAAUUGCAGAAUUCAGUGAAUCAUCGAAUCUUUGAACGCAAAUUGCGCCCGCCAGUAUUCUGGCGGGCAUGCCUGUUCGAGCGUCAUUUCAACCAUCAAGCCCCCGGGCUUGUGUUGGGGACCUGCGGCUGCCGCAGGCCCCGAAAACCAGUGGCGGGCUCGCUGUCACACCGGGCGUAGUAGAUUUUUCGUCUCGCCCAGGGCGUGCUGCGGGUUCCGGCCGUUAAAAAGCCUCUCUUUUAACCCAAGGUUGACCUCGGAUCAGGUAGGAAGACCCGCUGAACUUAAGC